UCUGCAGACACUCAGGGGAAACCGGGUGUUUGAGAAACUGUUGUGACGUCAGUUACAUGGACUGGAAUGUUCUUAAAGAUGGAGACAGGGAUUCAGAAGGAGAAACGCCAGGGGGAGAUGAGGCGGCUCCUCAUCUCAACGACUGAAACACGACUUCAGUCUGACACAGAACCAUGGAACACAUUCAACAGUCCCCUCCAGGCAUCGUGACUCCUCAGGAACAGUUUCAUUUCCAAGAAGGUCUUAUUUGGGGCCAUCCCCAUAUGGAUCCUGCUCCUCAAGAGCCACCCCCUCCACUGGGUGGUCUUCUGAACAGAUGACCUCCUUCCUGUUCUCAGGCUGACUAAAGCUGCACCAUUUGCAUCUGUGAAGGCCCCUCAUUCAGGAAACCACUGGACUACAAAGACAUGACUUCAGAGACGUUGAAUCAACCUGGGACACAUUUUGGAGACGCCAAGCAUAAUCCAUCACCAAUGUGGGACGCCACUGAAGAAUGUUGUACAUAAUUUACGUCUCUGGAGAUAUUGGUUGUUCUGUUAUGGGUGCCCUGGCAGGAGAGCUGGGGGGGGGGGGGGUGAUGGAAUGUUAUUUGGCAUGAGGUUUUUACCCUGCGUGUGUGCGUGUGUGCGUGUGCGUGUGUGUGAGCAUCGCUAGGGUUCUACUGUGUGUGUGUCCCACUCACACCUGGCAUGGGGUUCUAUGUGCCUGUCCUGGGUUCUAAGUGUGUGUGUCCGGCUUGCUUUGACAGUGAUAAUGUUCAUACGGGGGUCUGUGUGAUUGGCUUGGGAUAUUGGAAUGGUCAUCUAAAUCAUACCUGAUGGACGGCCACACGUUUACUUAAGGGCCUCCAGUAGACAUGAAGAGAUCUGAGCCACGCUCCGGAGCGAGAUCCAACACACUGGGAAGGAAGGAGAGUAUCCAACUCAAGUGUAAAAGGAUGCAAGCGGCGUGUUCAGAUCAGUGACUUCAAACUAGGACUACACCAAUCAGGAUCAAUGGAGGAUGGACACCAAAAGGAAUUCCACAAGGAGAGCCUGACGUUGGAAAGGGACCUCAAUGGAUAUUCAAGACGACCUUCAGACCUGUAAUGAGACGGCUCUUCCUACCUGGCUGGAUUGAUGGAGAGCCCUGUGGAUCUUGUCUUGCUCUCAGUUGCACGUCUUCUCAGGCUGAACUGUAUUUGUUUCGGACAGGACUAGCUGGACGAUUGGUUCCCUUAAAUCAGAACCAAUCCGGGUACUCCAGCUAGUGUGCUCUUCGAGCUGAAGUUGUGCUCUUCAGCUGAGGAGGUAAGGAAACCUUCACUGGGGCUUCAAGGUGUAAAGUGGAGAAUGUUUUAAAGUGUUCCAUGGUACUCUGUUGAAGACUAUUGUUGUGUUCCACUGGCUGAGAGGAAGAACCCUCACAUCUUCCUCUUGGCCUUUCUCCUCUGAGAAUCCUGGCACCAUCUUGAAGGCUAUUCCAGCUCAUGUAACUGAUGUCACGACAGAUUCUCAACCACUUGGUUUCUCCUGAGGGGCGUGUCUAUGGAACUGAAGACUUCAGACAGCACUGUAUCCCAGCAUGCAUCUCUGCUCACUCAGACCACACCCCCAUGAGUAGGAUGCAACACUCUAGUGAUAGCGAUGUAGAGUUUUAUAAGUAACGAGGGAGCAGACUAAGGUGAUUAGAACACAAUGGAAUGUCAAGUCUGUAAAUCUUUAAACCAUGAAGAUGGUUGGAUAGGUCAGGACUCAGGCUUCUUUUUAUUAUGGGCAGUCCUUUCACUCAGAUGCCCACUUCUCACUGGACCUGUACAUGUGUUGGCUGGCUGGCAUUAUUUGCUGUUGGUGAUGAGGCGGUCAGGGUGACGUUGCAGGGCUAUGGUCGGCUCUCUGUGAGCUCAACGUUUAGAUUUGCUCUGUAUGGUUUGUACCCUGAAUAAUCUAGAUAAUUGUAAAAUAUAGACACGGUUUUGUAUUGAAUGAUUCCAGGAUUUUAGGUUUAAGGUUGUUGUGGGACAUACAUGGUAGUUUGGUUCUUCGUAUGGUUUUGAGUGAUAUAACUUGUACACACUGGGUGCAUAAUAAUGUAAAGGUACACUGAAUAGUAGUAAUUACCAACAGCAACAAACAGAUCUCCUCAAGGUAAGUCUGUUGGCUGUGUUUAAAUGAAGACCAUCGCUGGACUUCAGGAUCUUCCUCCGUUCAGCUCAAGGUGAGGCGCUGGUUCUGUUUUUUCGUUGGUUGGUUCCGGCCGGAAUGUUCGGAUUCCAGUCGGACGGUUUGUGCUUCCCGCCGUGGAAGGUUCUGAGUGCGGUCACUUGAUUUUAGUCCCAAUGGUUAGCAUAGAACGUUGUAGUCUUGACAACCUUAAGAAACCACCUAGCAGUUAGUUGGACGGGAGUCCCCUGAGGGAAUCUGGAGGAACGGUUUCCAUUGAGAAUUGUUGCCCCCUAUCUUAAACAACUUAAGUUUGGUAUUAAAUACAUACUGAGACGUACGUCGUACAAUAUGUUGAUAAUUUCCGAUGGUUGCGCCGUACUUUUAACCACGAUGACAUGACGGGACUUUCACUACGUACAAAACAGCGUUCUACUUGCGGGCCCAUUUUUGACAUCAGGGAAGGCUGAAAAUCAUUUCAAGGUGGAAGAUAAUUUGACAUUUCUUCAACGGAACCCAGCACCUGAAUAUGGCUGAGUAUAUUUGAUUUAAUAUUGAUACUGCUUAGUGUUCUUUGUUACUUCAGCUUUUGUACGUUCUAAAUAUCUGCUAUCAUUAAUUGCCACAGAAGUUAAACCAUACCCAAUGGAAUGACAUUAAACCACGACUUUGGUGCAGAGUUACGAACUGGAUAAUAUCAAAGCUAAAAUAAUGGCUGUCAUUCCCACAUGUUACAGUAGAAGAUACUUUCGAACUGUACAAGGUUAAAAAGGUAACAUGUAGUUUGUCCCAAGGUGUCUGCCUCCUCACCCAGAGUAAGACCUCCACCUCCUCAACCAGAGCCAGACCUCCACCUCCUGUCAGAAGUCCUCCAGAACAGCUGAAAGGCGAGGCUGAGAGGCUGGGGACCGGAGGCUUGUGGUGCCAGGGUGGACCGGAGACUGAGGCUGGAGACCAGGGGCCUGCAGCACCGGACCAGAGGACCAGGAAUCCAUGGCUGAAGGAGCUGAUGGAGGAGCCGUGCUGACGGAGCUGAUGGAGGAGCCGUGCUGACGGAGCUGAUGGAGGAGCCGUUCUGAAGGAGCUGAUGGAGGAGUCAUGCUGAAGGCCCUGCAUUGUGGAGGAGCUGGUGGAGGCCCUGCCUGGUGAAGGACGUCUGUCGUGGGACCAGGACUCUGUCUGAGGAGUGCUGCUGGAGGAGCUGAGACGCUGGAGGACGACUAGGAAUCGACCAACAAGGAUUCCUCAAUGUGUUGCUGGUUGGGGAGCCGUGAAUCUGGAGGAUGACCAUCACUCUACCAACAAGGAUUACUUUAGGGCCAGACUCGCGCUGUUUGUUCCAGACCAGGACUCUGGCUGAGGAGAGCUGAUGGAGGAGCCAAGACUCUGGAGGACGACAUCACUCCACCAACCAGGAUCCUCAACAGGAAUCUGGAGGACUGAUGGAGAAGCCGUACAUCUGGAAGGCAAAUCCUGAGGACCACCAGGACUCUACCAUCAAGGAUACAUUCAAGUUUGCAUUAUCUGGACAUAGUGGACUAGACGCACCUGAGCUGAACCUCACCUGAUCCUGUUUGGUCGGGGGUAGACACACCCUGAGCUAAACCCGCCCUGAUCCUGACAUCCGGCUGGUCCCGUCUCCUCAGUUCAUCUGAGCCUCGUCCUCCAGAAGACCUGCUGAGCUCAGCAGUCUGAGGCUGAUGGAUCAAUGACCUCCAGUGGGAGUGAUCUUCUUGACACCACAUGUAACCACACGUAACCGUAACGUCUUUCCCUCACGUCUGUCACUAACCUCACUACUUCACUACUCUCUACUGCUUCCUCUUUUCUUCCUUCUCUGUGGUUCAAACCUUUACACUGAAGGCGCGUCUUCCUGCCCUCAGAGGGUUUAGCGUUAGGGUUGAGAGUCAGGGUUUAGAGUCAGGGACAGAGCUGGUCAGGGAGGACUGCUUUUACACAAACCUCUUCACUUGCUUUCGGAAUGGUGGUGACAUUUUGAAAAGAUUAAUUUGGGAAAAUGUUUUCCUCUGCUUUCCUUUACAAAAUUGUAUUAAACUUCUGUCAAGUGUUUUUGUUUAUAUAUUAAAAUCCCACAUUGACUUCUA